UUAGAUACCCCGGUAGUCCUGGCCGUAAACGAUGGGUACUAGGUGUAGGAGGUAUCGACCCCUUCUGUGCCGGAGUUAACGCAAUAAGUACCCCGCCUGGGGAGUACGACCGCAAGGUUGAAACUCAAAGGAAUUGACGGGGGCCCGCACAAGCGGUGGAGUAUGUGGUUUAAUUCGACGCAACGCGAAGAACCUUACCAGGUCUUGACAUUGAUGGACAGAACCAGAGAUGGUUCCUCUUCUUCGGAAGCCAGAAAACAGGUGGUGCACGGUUGUCGUCAGCUCGUGUCGUGAGAUGUUGGGUUAAGUCCCGCAACGAGCGCAACCCCUAUCUUAUGUUGCCAGCACUUUGGGCGGGGACUCAUGAGAGACUGCCGCAGACAAUGCGGAGGAAGGCGGGGAUGACGUCAAAUCAUCAUGCCCCUUAUGACCUGGGCUACACACGUACUACAAUGGGAGUUAAUAGACGGAAGCGAGAUCGCGAGAUGGAGCAAACCCGAGAAACACUCUCUCAGUUCGGAUCGUAGGCUGCAACUCGCCUACGUGAAGUCGGAAUCGCUAGUAAUCGCAG
rnacentral:rRNA from 1 species